CAACUUUGCUAUCUUAGAACGGAUCACCAGUGAAAGAGGGGAAGUUGCUACUGUGAUGAAUUCUGCCAUGUGGUACCAGACUGCUGCCCAGACCACAGUGUCCUCUGCAACCCUGGUCAAAGGUGCCUACAUGUUCCUUCUAGCUUUGUUUCCCUGAUGUUCCUUGCCACCUGCUACUCCUCUCUGAGCUACUUUUCCAGCUUCUCAGAUGACCAAGAUGGUGCUGCCGAUGGUGUUGAGGACGGAGAACCCACCAAGCCCCGUUAGGAGCCACCUAGACUGGAUGCAGAGCACACUCCACCAGGAACUCCACGCCCAUGCGCCUCACUUCCAGGUCUCCUUACUGCACGUCAGGAGAGGCUAACAGACAUCAGCUGCAGCCAGGCAUGUCCCGUACGCCCAAAGAGAGUGCUGCCCCUGGCCUGGGCCCCCACCGACAGACUGCAGCUGCGUUACUG
rnacentral:lncRNA from 1 species